rnacentral:tRNA from 2 species
GCGGAUAUGGCGUAAUUGGUAGCCGCGCUAGACUUAGGAUCUAGUGCCGUAAGGCGUGUGGGUUCGAGUCCCUCUAUCCGCA